CCCAGACUCCUACGGGAGGCAGCAGUGAGGAAUAUUGGUCAAUGGCCGAGAGGCUGAACCAGCCAAGUCGCGUGAGGGAAGACGGCCCUACGGGUUGUAAACCUCUUUUGUCGGGGAGCAAAGAGAGUCACGUGUGACUCAUUGAGAGUACCCGAAGAAAAAGCAUCGGCUAACUCCGUGCCAGCAGCCGCGGUAAUACGGAGGAUUCGAGCGUUAUCCGGAUUUAUUGGGUUUAAAGGGUGCGUAGGCGGAGUGUCAAGUCAGCGGUAAAAUUUCGGGGCUCAACCCCGUCGUGCCGUUGAAACUGGCGUUCUUGAGUGGGCGAGAAGUAUGCGGAAUGCGUGGUGUAGCGGUGAAAUGCAUAGAUAUCGCGCAGAACUCCGAUUGCGAAGGCAGCAUACCGGCGCCCGACUGACGCUGAGGCACGAAAGCGUGGGUAUCGAACAGGAUUAGAUACCCCGGUAGC
rnacentral:rRNA from 1 species